rnacentral:lncRNA from 1 species
GUCUUUUAACAUUUAUGGUUAAAGAUAUAGGUUGAAAUGUCAUGAGCCUGGAGGCCUUCUGGUCUCUCAGAACAAGGAUGCAGAAUCAGGGCUAGUUCAAGAACCCCACUGCAUGAGGUUAAAGUCUACGUAGUAGGUGAGCCAUUGUAGAAGUCCCUGUGGAAUCUCUCCAAGGCUUCAGUGAUUUGCCUUUUUUUUUUUUU